rnacentral:rRNA from 1 species
UACGAAGGGGGCUAGCGUUACUCGGAUUGACUGGGCGUAAAGGGCGCGUAGGCGGAUGGUACAGUCAGACGUGAAAUUCCUGGGCUCAACCUGGGGGCUGCGUUUGAUACGUGCUGUCUGGAGUUCGGAAGAGGGUCGUGGAAUUCCCAGUGUAGAGGUGAAAUGCGUAGAUAUCGGGAGGAACACCAGUGGCGAAGGCGACUUCCUGGCCUGUUCUUGACGCUGAGGCGCGAAAGCUAGGGGAGCAAACGGG